AUGUAAAGUUAUGGUGUAUCUCUCUUCCAGAGGGUGACAGUCACAAAGCACCAUCUUGAAACAGAGAAGAGCCUUUCCCAGACAGCUGAACCUGCCAGAACCUCACCAUGGACGUCUCAGCCUCUGUAACUGCAAGGCAUCAGGUGCCAGAGAAAUCAUGAGACACAGAGAGACCUCACCAGUUGACUGGCAACAUGGGAUGUGUUACUCCUCUGCUCCAGACUGGGGCUGUAGACCAUCAAGCUGUGCGGCUGCUGCUGGGCCUGGCUCUGGGCACAGGGCCAGCCACUGCCCCUUGCCCUUCUUCCCGGAGAAAGGAAUAAAUUCAGAUCUAUAC